CAAGCUAUCCUAGGUACGUGCUCAAUCUGUGGUGUUGAAGAUGAAUGUGUUUUUCAUGCUUUGGUAUGCUGUCCCAAGGUACGUGCAUUCCGUAUGGGUUUGAGAGAGGUGUGGAAUUUGCCGGAUGAAGACAUUUUAAACUGUUCGGGGCCGGACUGGUUACUUAUUUUAUUGGAUCAGUUAAGUUCGCCUAUGCGUGAGCAAACAAUUUUCAUGUUCUGGAGAGCUUGGCAUUUGAGAAAUGACUUGAUUUUUGGUAAAGGAAAGGAAUCUAUCUCGGCCUCAGUGAGUUUUAUUCAAAAUUAUUGGGCUUCAUUCUCAUCUUGUCAUGCAAAAAUGAAGGUAGAGGUAAGUAACAAAGGUAAGGAUGUGGUUGAUGGUUUACAACCCAUUAGUAAUGUGGACAGGAUUUGUGUUCCAUGGCUGCCUCCCACUCCGGAAUUCCUUAAGAUUAAUGUUGAAGCAAGUUUUGUGGAGGCCGUUAGUGCAGCGAGCGUUGAGGUGGUUGUUAGAAAUCAUUUUGGAGAAGUUCUUAUUUCUUCUUGGGAUUAUAUUGGUUCAUGUCUUUGUGCUGAGGAAGCGGAACUUCGAGCAGCCAUCUUAGGCCUUUACAUUGGUAUCACUCUUCACAAGCCCAUUAUUUUAGAAACCGACUGUUCUUUUGUGGCCUCGGUUUUUGCAAAUGAUAACCUGGACAGGUCAAACCUUGUUGAUUUGAAGAAGGAAGCGUUGAGUGUCUCCAAGAUGAUGAGUACUUGA
rnacentral:rRNA from 1 species